rnacentral:rRNA from 1 species
GACGAACCGUGUGAACGUUAUUCGGAAUCACUGGGCUUAAAGCGCGUGUAGGCGGGACGGCACGUCGGUCGCUGAAAGCCCCCGGCUCAACCGGGGAACGGGCGCCGAUACGACCGCCCUGGAGGGACGUAGGGGGACCUGGAACAUCCGGUGGAGCGGUGAAAUGCGUUGAGAUCGGAUGGAACGCCCGUGGCGAAAGCGAGGUCCUGGACGUUUUCUGACGCUGAGACGCGAAAGCCAGGGGAGCGAACGGG